rnacentral:lncRNA from 1 species
AGUCGGGGAAAAGAAUUACAUGGACAACUCUGAUGAGAGAAUCAAAGAUCCAGGAGGCUUGCCAAGGAAAACUACUUUCAGAGUUCACAUAGGAUUUUCUUAUCCGCUCCCUUUGUUAUCCCUUCCUGAGGUUUCCAACUAACUCGCAAAAGAAAAAGAGGCAGGUGAUCUCAAGUGGGUAACCUUGCUAGAAGCCUAGAAUACUAUCUAUAUCGGGCAGCAAUGUGGAUAUCAUCUGUUUUUAUAAUGACAUAAUCACUGCUAAGAAAAGUUGAUGCAAAAAAUCUUUAUGGCGUCUUUUAGAUGUCCGUUCACGCUCUGCUCGUGAGAAACAUCUCCUGCAAGCAAGAAAUCAGAUCCUCCAAGUCCUACAUCCAUUUUGGGUGAGGUCUUAAGUUGUUACAAAUAAUAUCAAAACGGACCCAGCCCAUAACCUAUAUGCACUAGG